rnacentral:antisense_RNA from 1 species
CGCUGGAUAAUUGAGGUUGCAACUCAAUCACCCAGCUAACCACAACGAUCUGAAAAGGAGAUCAUCAUGGCUGU